UAUAGAUUCUGUCCUGCAGAAAUAGAGCUUAUUAGUUUGGACUUGGUAUCUCAUAUUCAUUGUGGUCGCACCGUAUCUUCCAAUUUGGAAACCACUGGUCUAAGGUUUAAAGCAUUCACCUGGAGGAAGAUAGCAAGAUAGGAUAAUCUUGGAUGGUCAAACCUAGCUUGUUUUGAGCUUGGAGGAGUCCGGAGCUGCUGGCUGGCCUAUGGAGCAGAUGAUCCAUCUCAUGGAUGGACUUGGAAGGAAAAAGUCAUCUCCCCAGUGUGACAUGAGAACAGAAAAGAAAAACGUUUGAAGAGAAAUACAAAGGGAGAAAAGAUACUGUGAUCACAAUGGAACUUGCCUUUUAAGCUGAAGAUGAGUAUAGGUGGUAGGAAGGCUAUGGCUAUGAUAAUGAAGCAGGUUUCUAUGAAAAAGUUCAGAUAAAUGAGAUGUGC
rnacentral:lncRNA from 14 species